rfam:Camelus ferus unplaced genomic scaffold scaffold390, whole genome shotgun sequence.
GAGGGUAUAGCUCAGUGGUAGAGCCUGUGCUUAGCAUGCAGGAGGUCCUGAAUUCAAUCCCCAGUACCUCCA